CCCGGCUGCGCCCCGCGGGCGUGCGCGGUCCCCAAACCCCAGUUCUGCACAUUUCUCAGGAGCGGUCGGGUGGUGUCCCGCGAGUGCCCUGCAGACUUCCCUGUGGUGCCCUCAGAAGUCCGCUCGGACCCGGGUGCGAGGGAUCACCUCUUCACCCCUUGAUCACAAAAGGGAAGGAAGGGAUGCGCGUUCAGUUACCGUCUCUCCCAGCAAAGCCGGGACCGCGCACCCGCUUGGCACCCAACUCUCCCCUGCGAACUCCGAACGCUAAAUAUUUAGAUAAAGACGCACGUCCUUUUUGCAGGAGGAAAGUUGCACCGUUUGUUUUCCCGUUGUGCUUCCUAUUGAAACCUGCUUACGGUUUUUGCUCCAGGUGAGCCCGCCCGGUUAGAACACUGCUUCCUCAGGCAGGUGGCUGGACAGGUGGCCGUGAGGAGGCUGAGUCCCUGGGGCAGCGCUGGCAGAUCCGGUUGGCACGGACAUUCUCCUCCUGCUGCAGUGCGCUUUUCCUCAGGGGCGGGUUAGGUUCAGCCGGUCCCUUCACCGUGGGAGCCUUCUCUUCUGUCAGCUUUGGAUACCUGCGAUGGGGGAAUCUGAAGUCCUAACAUGUUACAAACAGGUUUGUUGUGAAGUGCUCCAGUUAUUCAGCAAAUAGGUACGGAACACCUGCUUUGUUCCGGGUGUAACAGUAACAGUAGUAAUAAUAAUGAUAGCAAUAGCAAAUAACAAUUCUUUAAUACCGUCUAUGUGCCAGUCAAUUUCUUGGGUUAGCUUUACAGCACUUGACGUGGUUAGUUUAUUAGUACUGGUGAGAACCCAAUGAGUUGGAUGCUAUCAUCUCCGCCUUUUGGAAUUGGAAUAGAAGUAAAGGUUAAAUGACUUGUCCAGGGUGUCACAGGUCCUAAAUGUGGAUCUGGAUUGGAACCAUGGUCAAGACCUUAAGAUGGAAGGUAGUUUCUACACCUAGGGGUUCUCAGUCUAGUGGGGAGAUGGACACCUGGGCACCUGACAUGACAACAUUUUAAGUGCUGUGGAAACUCGGGGCAGAGACUGCCCUGGGGAGGCAGGAGAGGUUUUCUUUAAGGUGGGAUCUUGAGGGAUAAGGAAUUCGCCAGGCUAAGAGGGUAAGAAAUGGCUUUCUACAUAUUUGAACGUUGUGUCUAGUGCUUUAGGCACAACUGUGAAAUGAUUAGAAGUUGGGCCAGAGGUGGAUCACGUUGAUUAGACUUAGAGGUUGGAAGGGUUAGUUAAGGCUGAAUUUCGAGGGGCUGGUCCUUUGAGGGGUUUGCUUUUUGGCCGUGGGCAAGAGGUGGCCACAGAGGGUUGUUCAAAGCAUGGGGGUGAUGGACCAGAUGUGCUUUUGGGAAGAUCUCCACAUAGCCCUAAAUGGUACUGAUAGGACUUGCUUUCUUCUGUUGCCCAGGCAAGGUGCUGACCAGUGUGGGGUAGAUCAUGUGAUUUAAAAGGUUGAUUAAGAACAAGAUUGUGUUGAGAGAGAUUUGAUUCCUGAGAGAUUCCAGUGUUCAGAAUUUUGUUGGUUAAGAGGUGUUUUUGCUUUCCUUCUUUUUUCUCCUAAAACAAUAGCUGCUAUACCAGCUGUUCUGGUUGAGGAGGAGUGAUGGGUAGACUGUUAAAAAUACACCCCGAGGACUUAGAGUUUCUGAAUACAGUCACAUCUGCUGUACAGAUAGCUUAAGGCUGAUUUUUCUUCUGAGUUGUUAAGAGAUUGUCAGAAUGUGGGAAUGCGAGGUUGACUGUAUGUAAUAGCUCUAUUUUUUUUUUUUCCAGCAGAUAAGCCAUUCACAAAAUUCUUCUGGUAUCUAUGGUACAUAAUAGAAAUAUCAAAAAUGGUAUGGGGUAGCAAUCUGAGUCUAAAAAGAAAAACAGAACUCACCUUAAGUAUUUAGAGCAGAAGGAAUGUAACGUAGGGGAGUGGUCACACAGGUGGUGGGAGUACUGAGAAUGCAGGCUGCAGUGAGGCAAGCCGGAGAUGAGGCAACAAGCAGGAAACCGCUGCCACCCCUAAGCUGGAGGGUGAAGGAAGGAGAUGGCAUUUCAGACUUCAGGGACAGCUGUCACCCACCAAAAACUGGGGUCACAGGGGGUCCACCUGGCAGUGACUGGAGGCUUGCAAAGGCACAGCUGCUGCUACAGAUGUACUGUUCCCCUUCUGCCUGGGAACCCUGUCCUGGCUAGGGUCACCUCCUCCACAACUUGGACUGGAGCAGAAGGACAAAGAAUGGAUCUGAGGACAAGCUGGCCCAGGACCAGAACUACCAUCAUCAAAGAGGGGAUGCUGACCAAACAGAACAAUUCAUUCCAGCGAUCAAAAAGGAGAUACUUUAAGCUUCGAGGACGAACGCUUUACUAUGCCAAAACGGCAAAGUCAAUCAUAUUUGAUGAGGUGGAUCUGUCAGAUGCCAGCGUGGCUGAAUCCAGUACCAAAAACGUCAACAACAGUUUUACGGUCAUAACUCCAUGCAGGAAGCUCAUCUUGUGUGCUGAUAACAGAAAAGAAAUGGAAGAUUGGAUUGCAGCAUUAAAGACUGUGCAGAACAGGGAGCACUUUGAGCCCACCCAGUACAGCAUGGACCACUUCUCAGGGAUGCACAAUUGGUACGCCUGUUCCCACGCGAGGCCGACCUACUGCAAUGUGUGCCGUGAGGCUCUGUCUGGGGUCACGUCGCAUGGGCUGUCCUGCGAGGUGUGCAAAUUUAAGGCCCACAAGCGCUGUGCUGUGCGUGCAACCAAUAACUGCAAGUGGACCACGCUGGCCUCCAUCGGGAAGGACAUCAUUGAAGAUGCAGAUGGGAUCGCAAUGCCCCACCAGUGGUUGGAAGGAAACCUACCUGUGAGCGCCAAGUGCACUGUGUGCGACAAGACCUGUGGCAGUGUGCUGCGCCUGCAGGACUGGCGCUGCCUCUGGUGCAAGGCCAUGGUUCACACAUCGUGUAAAGAAUCCUUGCUGACCAAGUGCCCACUUGGCCUAUGCAAAGUGUCAGUCAUCCCACCCACGGCUCUCAACAGCAUCGACUCUGAUGGGUUCUGGAAGGCCAGCUGUCCUCCGUCUUGCACAAGCCCACUGUUGGUCUUCGUCAAUUCAAAAAGUGGGGACAACCAGGGUGUGAAGUUCCUCAGAAGAUUCAAACAGCUGCUAAAUCCCGCCCAGGUCUUCGACCUCAUGAACGGAGGCCCACACCUCGGCUUACGGUUAUUCCAGAAGUUUGACACGUUCCGGAUUCUGGUUUGUGGUGGGGAUGGAAGUGUUGGCUGGGUCCUCUCUGAAAUCGACAGCCUCAACCUUCAUAAACAGUGUCAGCUGGGAGUGCUGCCGCUCGGCACAGGGAACGACUUGGCCCGAGUGCUGGGCUGGGGCUCAGCCUGCGAUGAUGACACGCAGCUCCCCCAGAUCUUGGAGAAGUUGGAGAGAGCCAGCACCAAGAUGCUGGACAGGUGGAGCGUCAUGGCAUACGAGGCCAAGCUCCCGCGACAGGCCUCCUCCUCCACCGUCACCGAAGACUUCAGCGAGGAUUCCGAGGUACAGCAGAUUCUCUUCUAUGAAGACUCGGUUGCAGCCCACCUUUCUAAAAUCCUUACCUCGGACCAGCACUCGGUGGUCAUCUCCUCGGCCAAAGUGCUCUGUGAGACGGUGAAGGACUUCGUGGCCCGGGUGGGGAAGGCCUAUGAGAAGACGACCGAGAGCUCGGAGGAGUCAGAGGUCAUGGCCAAGAAGUGCUCUGUCCUGAAAGAGAAGCUGGAUUCCCUUCUCAAGACCUUGGACGAUGAGUCCCAGGCCUCGUCCUCUCUGCCCAACCCACCCCCGACCAUUGCCGAGGAGGCUGAAGAUGGAGAUGGGUCGGGCAGCGUCUGUGGCUCCACCGUGGACCGCUUGGUGGCAUCAGCCUGCCCGGCCCGGCCGCAGAUAUUCCGGCCUCGAGAACAGCUCAUGCUGAGAGCCAACAGCCUGAAGAAAGCGAUUCGUCAGAUCAUAGAACACACAGAAAAAGCUGUCGAUGAGCAGAAUGCCCAGACCCAGGAGCAGGAGGGCUUCGUCCUGGGCCUCUCUGAGUCAGAGGAGAAGAUGGACCACAGAGUGUGCCCACCACUGUCCCACAGCGAGAGCUUCGGGGUCCCCAAGGGGAGGAGCCAGCGCAAAGUGUUGAAAUCUCCGUGUGAAAAGCUGAUCAGCAAAGGAAGUCUGUCCCUGGGCAGUUCUGCUUCCCUUCCACCCCAGCCGGGAAGCCGGGACGGCCUGCCUGCACUCAACACCAAGAUCCUGUACCCAAAUGUCCGGGCUGGAAUGUCUGGUUCCUUACCCGGUGGCUCAGUCAUCAGUCGCCUGUUAAUUAAUGCUGAUCCCUUUAACUCUGAACCAGAAACCCUAGAGUAUUACACAGAGAAAUGUGUCAUGAACAACUAUUUUGGCAUCGGCCUGGAUGCAAAGAUAUCCCUGGACUUUAAUAACAAGCGCGAUGAACACCCAGAGAAGUGCAGGAGCCGAACCAAGAACAUGAUGUGGUAUGGAGUUCUUGGAACCAAAGAGUUGCUGCACAGAACCUACAAGAACCUGGAACAAAAGGUCUUGCUGGAGUGUGACGGGCGACCCAUCCCACUCCCCAGUCUUCAGGGAAUUGCUGUCCUUAACAUUCCCAGCUAUGCCGGAGGAACCAACUUCUGGGGGGGAACCAAGGAAGAUGAUACUUUCACAGCUCCAUCAUUCGAUGACAAGAUUCUGGAGGUGGUCGCUGUGUUCGGCAGCAUGCAGAUGGCCGUCUCUCGAGUCAUCAGGCUGCAGCAUCAUCGGAUCGCCCAGUGUCGCACAGUGAAGAUCUCCAUCCUUGGGGAUGAGGGCGUGCCUGUGCAGGUGGACGGAGAGGCCUGGGUCCAGCCGCCAGGGUACAUUCGGAUUGUCCACAAGAACCGGGCACAGACACUGACCAGAGACAGGGCAUUUGAGAGCACCCUGAAGUCCUGGGAAGACAAGCAGAAGUGUGAGCUGCCCCGCCCUCCAUCCUGUGCCCUGCACCCGGAGAUGCUGUCCGAGGAGGAGGCCACCCAGAUGGACCAGUUUGGGCAGGCGGCGGGGGUCCUCAUUCACAGUAUCCGAGAAAUAGCUCAGUCUCAUCGGGACAUGGAGCAGGAACUGGCCCACGCCGUCAAUGCCAGCUCCAAGUCGAUGGACCGGGUGUAUGGCAAGCCCAGAACCACAGAGGGGCUGAACUGCAGCUUUGUCCUGGAAAUGGUGAAUAACUUCAGAGCUCUGCGCAGUGAGACGGAGCUGCUGCUGUCUGGGAAGAUGGCCCUGAAACCUCACUCUACGGCUCUCUUGUUGGACGCUUCCUGUCAUCCCACACGUCCCGUGGUCACAUGCGUCUCCUCAGUGCACACCUCGUGCUGCCUCCUGCAAGGCACGACUGCUGACUUUGCCUCCUACAGCAUUUCCACUGCUUGGCACAGCAGCUGGAUCCGCCGCAGAAGGAGCAGCUGGGGAGUGCUCUUACCGAGAUGGACCGACAGCUCAGGAGGCUGGCAGACACCCCCUGGCUCUGCCAGUCUGCAGAGCCCGGCGAUGAAGAGAGCGUGAUGCUGGAUCUUGCCAAGCGCAGUCGCAGUGGUAAAUUCCGCCUCGUGACCAAGUUUAAAAAGGAGAAAAACAACAAGAACAAAGAAGCCCACAGUAACCUGGCAGCCCCGGUUCACCUCUGGGGGACAGAGGAGGUUGCUGCCUGGCUGGAGCACCUCAGUCUCUGUGAGUAUAAGGACAUCUUCACGCGGCACGACAUCCGGGGCUCUGAGCUCCUGCACCUGGAGCGGAGGGACCUCAAGGACCUGGGCGUGACCAAGGUGGGCCACAUGAAGAGGAUCCUGUGUGGCAUCAAGGAACUGAGCCGCAGCGCUCCCGCCGCCGAGGCCUAGCCUCUGCCCUCUCAGCCUGCGGCCUCCACAUCCCCGCCGCCGAGACCUAGCCUCCGCCCUCUCAGCCUGUGGUCUCUGCGCCUCCUGCCACUGAGGCCCUGGGCGGACGCUGCAGCCCGCCCCCUUCUCAUGGUGCUACUUCCUCUGUCAGCUACAGAAAGCCUCCGUGACACCGUCCACCAGAGCUCUGGGGUCUCGAACAUAACAACACAGCUACCUUUGAAACAACACCUUCUCCAGCUCAGAGUCACCUGGAGCACAUGUGUUGCGGUUCUUCCCCGCCUGUGUUGUGGGCCAGGGAAUCUGGCAGCGUUUGGCCUCCUGGGCACCCCUUGCCUGGCCACGUGCUUGGAUUGUCCCAGGGGCUCCUCUCCCUGUGUCCUUCUGUGGCCACACUGUGUGGCUCCGCCUCCUGGCCCCCGUCCGGUUCUCGGAAACGUGGCUGCGGCCCAGCAGCCUACAGGAGCGCGUUUGUUGAUGCAGCUUUUGUUGUUGAACAAAAAUGAUGCUCUUUCCUGGUUUGAAAGUAGCAUGGAUGUUUCCAGUCCUGUUGAUUGUAAUUUGACGUGAAAAGAAAAAUUUCUCCUGCGUGAGCCAAGGCAGCGAGUGCUGUUUCCUAGGCGGGGAGCCCCUCACUGGGUGUCGCAGGGCCUGCGUUCCUCCCUCCUCCCUCCUCCCUCUCCCCUCUCCCCCCUCCCCCACUGUGGCCUGGGGACACCUGCCCUUCUGUCUCCAGAUGCUGUAGGCCUCAAGUUCAGCUUGGGGCUGUGAGUGAGACAGCUUGCCAGCUGCAUCCCCACAGACAGAGGAUGUGUGUCUACAUGAGUUCAGUGUUUCUGUGUGGGAAAUGCUUCCUGGCUCUGGGAAACUCUUUCUGUCCAUUCUGUGGUUCCCAGGGAGCAUGGCCCUGGUGGGCAGGUGUGGUUUGACCUCUCCACGCCAUCCGGUGGCCUGGAGGCCAGAGGCUGUCCUAAGUAUCUCUGCCCCUGCGGUGGCUGCUUGUCUCCUGCUACCAGGCCUGAUGUCGCUGGAGGUGCUGGCGGGGACUCUGAUUUGAUGGUCCGCACUGCUCCUGCCCUGCCUCUGUCCUGGCUCUGAACUAGCAGAUGAUGGUGCCAGAGGGCAGGGAGCUCAGCUGGGGAGAGGGCUGUGCCCCGCAGGGGCAGUCUCCAGGUGGAGGACGCGCCUGGUCCUCCAGGGCACUGACUUUGCCCUUUUUUCCCCUUGAUAGUUACGGCUCGCAGGGGCUCGUAAAUAUCUUGGGAAGAGGUUUCUGUAACCCCUGCCCUGGUGUGAGGAGGAAAUGGCUCUGGCCUGGCUGCCUGCCUGUAGCUCCAUGCCCCAAAGAGAAGGACAGUGUUGGGAGUGUCUGCCGGCGCCGCCCCACUCCUUUAGUCAGCGUCACGCCAUCUGACAUGCAGAAGCUGGGCUGCACCUGUGGGGGAGGGCAUAGACGGGGCUGGCUCUGCGGCAGCCCUCGGUCCUGAGCAGGUGGCAGUGAACAGCGCUGGCCCAUCUCUCACAGCCCCUCUGUCUCCUCUGCAGUGCGCCUAGAUGCGCCCCUCCACGUGCCUUGGGGUGCUCCGCUUUCAUGGUCCUUCUGGGCCAAGGCCCUUGGAGUGAGGAGGCUGAGCCAGGGUUUCCCCAGUGCAGCCUCCUGUCCCUCCAUGCGGCGUGUGGGGGUUUUGGAUGAAAGACUCUCCCGUGCUCUGUUGGUGGACUUAGCUGCCUCCCUGGAGGUGAUGUGGGUGGAAGGUGGUUGUGUGUCACCUUUUCCACCCGUGAUUGUUUUCCCCAGAACAUUUUAGAUGGGGUUGGCAGAGGGAGAAAUAAGCCAGCCAUGGCAGUCGCUUGGUUUCCCAGGUGGAACGGGCUAACACAGGAGAUGAUGGGAGCCUGUCCUGCAGUCCCUGCAUGACCACUGGCCCUGCUGACCUGGCAGUGUGGGCAUCCUGGGGCUCUUAGGGUCCCAGAACAAGCCCCAGGCAAGCUGGAACUCGGGUGAGGAGGGGACAUGAGGAUAAACAGCCGACCGUGGCUUCAAGGACAUCAGGGCCAUCCCAAGUCCUCAGUGUCCUACUCCUGGCAAGGAGUUGGGUUUGGAUCAAAGUGUUUAAAAUUAAUAUGUUGUCAGUGAUUAUAACAACACUGUUUACAUAAAAACCAUUUUUUCUAAUUCUAACAAGUUAGAAGUGAGGAAGGAAUGAACACGCAUGUUUAGGAAACUGUCCUUUGGUGCUGGGCUGGUGUCCUGCACUGGGGUGUCGCUGCUGUCCGGGGGCUGCUCUGCUGCCCCGGCCCAGGUCCCCUUGUGGUGUUGCCAGACAGGCCUCACGGUCUGCUGUGCAGAGAGAGGCAGGAAGGAUCCCUGAAGAGUCUUGGGGAGAAGGUUCUGUGCCCUCAGGUGGGGCUACCCCCUCGUAUUUAUAAUCUUAAUUUAUAUAGUGACCACCGUGGAAACAAAUGCCUCUUGUAUUGUUAUGUACAUAGUCCAUACCUGAGUGCUGUACAUAAGUUGGUCUGUGUAUAAAUAAAACAAGCCUGUUUUUGAUCUUCCA